GGAAGUAAAGUCGUAACAAGGUUUCCGUAGGUGAACCUGCGGAAGGAUCAUUAAUGAGUUGUCAUGGGGUUCGAUGCUGGCAGCCAGUUUUUGGAUGCAUGUGCUUGCCCUAACAAUCAUCUUCUUCCAAACACCUGUGCACAUUUUUGAGGGAGUCUUGAGUUGGUUGCCGCUCUUGGGUGAUUUUCUCACAUUCCCUUAGAUCAUUAUACGCUAUUAACAAUGUUGAACGUGCUCUGUGCCGCUAGGCCAUUAAUAUAAUACAACUUUUAACAACGGAUCUCUUGGCUCUC
rnacentral:misc_RNA from 1 species